UUCACAAAUACUUAUUGCAAGGUGCAUUAUUAAAUGCUAUUAAAACCUAGAAUGCAAAGUCAUUGAAAGAUCUCACAAUUUUGAUAAAAUAAUAGACAAGUACACUGUAAUGCAUAAAGGAAAAUUACUCCUAAUUACACAAUAAAGAAGCACAAAGUUGAAUUAUUAAGGUGCAAUAUCUGAAAAUCAUGGUGGAUCAUAGUUCUCUAAAACCAGCAGCUCAACACUGGUUCAGAAAAGCAGUUGAUUUAUUGGAAAACCAGAUAAUAUCAGAAAUGACUGUUAUGUUAUAUACAUUUUGAUCUGAAAGCUUCUAACUGAGGUUGGAUGUGAGAACCUAGUAUUUUAGGAAAUUACAUUUGUGUAUAUAAUAAUAAAUUCCAAAUUUUAGAACAAUGUAGUUCUUUCAAAACUAAAAACCAUCACACACACUCAAGUGAAAAAAAAAGCAAAACACCCAAAACAAAACAACAGACCUUGACAGGCUUUUCAGGCUGUAGGUUAUUAAAUACUGUAAAUAACCUAAGCCUGGUGCUCUGCUGAGAGAGGAUUACCAUUGUGCUGGCUGUUUUGGACUGGGGCUCCUUCCCCGCUCUCUGCCUCCAUAAACACCUGUAUGGCAGAGGACAGGAUUAAAUAGCAUCUUCCUCAAGGAAGUUUUAACUCAGGCUAUUUUAAAUUGGCCAUCAGCUCCAGCUUUCUGACACAGGUGCUUGCUCAGGUUUUGCUUUGAUAGGAGAUGGUUAAUAUACAAUUCUGCACCUGUGAAUUUAAAAGCUUUCCAAAAUCUACCACUUUAUAAAAAUCCCCAUAACCUGUAUUAGGCCAGCACUGUUCAGGUGAGAUAAAAUCCUGCAACAUCUAAACUACUUCUAGCACCGGAGACAGUCCACUGAGGCAUUUCUUCAAGUGUCUUUGUGUUGCAGUAAAGUAACUAUAUUUUAGGAAGAAGUUUAAUUUAUCUUCAAGGAACAGAACUCUGCAUAGAAAAUAUUAAAUUUCUUAAUCUCACAUGAUGUUUUUGCAGACUGUGAGAUUAGCAGAAGGGUAGGGGUAAGGUUCUUGUGGGCAGCAAUUUGGAAUAGGUGCUGUUGUCACAAAAAAAUUUCUGAAACACCUGGUGCUUCCAUUGGUCUGAUAGCAAAACAGCAUUUAAUGGGAAAGACACUGAGCAACAAAUCAACAAAGUGAUUUCUACAACCAGAAUUGACGUAAAGUGUACAUCUUGAAAUGAAAAAAAGGGAAAGCAAAGAACAAUAAUCCAAGUUUUCUUUUGCCAUUUCUUUGCUAUAUAACCCUAGUAGAAGCUAAAAAAAACCCAAACCACUAAAUUCACCCAGACUUAGGCACUGCACCUGUUAUAUCCUUAUGCUACAGAAAAUACAAUAGAAAGGAAAGACAAUAAGUCAUUCCUUCUGGUCUUUGAUCAAAACAUGAUGCGGGUUUUC